UGUUCACAGUUGGCCAUUCUGUCGGUGCUGGUGGCUGCUGCGUCUGCCAGUGGCGGGAGGAGCCAGGUCGAAGUUGAAACUUUCACCCCAAACACGGUCAGCUCGUAUGGAUCCAACGUGAACCACGGAUACAACGCUCCUGGCGGCUAUGGCCAGAUCUACGAGCUGAGAGAAGGAUUCAGACAAAGCCUCGGCAAUGCAUUCGACGGCGAAAACGGCGAACACCACGGUCCGCAAGGACUCAGAGGAUUCCGAUUCAGAUACAGCGCCGACGUCGGAAACGGAUACGGACAGGGCGGAACCGGAGCCGGAUACGGCGGAAUUCGCGGUUGAUUCGACGGAAUUCACGGUGGAUUCGGCGGACGCAGUGGUGGACACGGUUCACCUUUGUACAGGUCUCGCGUGUUUUAGCGGCAGGCUUUGCACCUAUGAAAUUUAGUAUAGUUACUUCAGGCUAUAGCCUAUAUCUUGGUCGUCUUAAGCUUUUGAGUGUUCAAGUUGCGAUAGACUUGUUCGUUCACAAGCCUGCUAUGAUCGUUUUAAAAUGGCUUCAUAGUAGAUCGAUUAGUUUCUGAGAUAUAACCGGAAAUGUAAAAGGGCAAAACCUACCGCUUAAUCUCGCUAGAGCCGUACAUUCCUCGGGUACGUUACCCCGUGGGGUUAAUAUGGUAUUGGUGGAUUGAACCGUUUCUGAGGCAAAUUUGCUAGUGAAAUCAAUAGAUGAUAGAUAUGGUGGAUAGGGACAUUUUUAAACUUACUUUGACAUGUAUCUAGAACGAUGUGGGCGAAAUCCUUUCUCUGUAAUAUCCAUGGAUAAUGUCAUGUCAUGGAUUGUCUAUAUGUAGACCGUAACUGCAUCUUGAACGACAUCACAAUGUCACAUAUAGACCUCACUAGAUCCGAUCGAGUUGGACACCCGUCCGAGACCGCCGUCAACAGUAGAAUCCCCCGCCGGACACCGAGCGCACCCCCCGCCGCCUCGGCCUGUUAAUAAAAUAUCCAAAUGACAA